rnacentral:rRNA from 1 species
GAUGAACGCUGGCGGCGUGCCUAAUACAUGCAAGUCGAGCGAACAGACGAUGAGCUUGUUCCUCUGACGUUAGCGGCGGACGGGUGAGUAACACGUGCAUAACCUACCUAUAAGACUGGGAUAACUUCGGGAAACCGGAGCUAAUACCGGAUAAUAUAUUGAACCGCAUGGUUCAAUAGUGAAAGACGGUUUUGCUGUCACUUAUAGCUGGAUCCGCGCCGCAUUAGCUAGUUGGUAAGGUAACGGCUUACCAAGGCAACGAUGCGUAGCCGACCUGAGAGGAUGAUCGGCCACACUGGAACUGAGACACGGUCCAGACUCCUACGGGAGGCAGCAGUAGGGAAUCUUCCGCAAUGGGCGAAAGCCUGACGGAGCAACGCCGCGUGAGUGAUGAAGGUCUUCGGAUCGUAAAACUCUGUUAUUAGGGAAGAACAAAUGUGUAAGUAACUAUGCACGUCUUGACGGUACCUAAUCAGAAAGCCCCGGCUAACUACGUG